rnacentral:rRNA from 1 species
UACGAAGGGGGCUAGCGUUGUUCGGAGUCACUGGGCGUAAAGCGCACGUAGGCGGAUCUCUAAGUCGGGGGUGAAAUCCCGAGGCUCAACCUCGGAACUGCCUUCGAUACUGGAGAUCUUCGAGUCCGGGAGAGGUGAGUGGAACUCCGAGUGUAGAGGUGAAAUUCGUAGAUAUUCGGAAGAACACCAGUGGCGAAGGCGGCUCACUGGCCCGGUACUGACGCUGAGGUGCGAAAGCGUGGGGAGCAAACAGG